AUUAUAUUAUUCAUCAAGACAUAUACGUCAUAGCCAAUUAACAAACAAUAAAACAUUGAAUAAAAACGUGGAGAAGGGAGAUUGGAAUUUCCAAAAUUCUUAUGAGGCUUUAAUUAAGUCCACUGGGUGCUCGGAAUUAUCAAAUCAUUUCUACAUUUCCAUUCUAAGGGGAAAAAAUAAUUCACCUUCAAUGUUCAAAAGCACUAGGAUAAACCUUACUCUUCAUUAAUAAUACCAUUUAUAACUAGCCCUUGAUUGGGAAGAAAAUCAGACCAAUGUUCUAAAUCUCGUUUUAUUUCAAAUAUAUAAUUUGUGAUUUUUUCAAGAUAAAGAAAGAGAUGUAAAAUGAAUGGAAAUGGAAACAAAUUCAAAGCAAGAAUGAUAAUACGAUUAUUUUUAAUGAAAAAAAUAACUUGCCUUCA
rnacentral:lncRNA from 1 species